AGAGGCGGGGAACCCGCGGGCAUUCAGCUGCUAAGGCGCGGGCUCUGUACCCUGGCAGCCGCCGACUCCAGCUGACCAGUACCUCCUUUGGCUCAGACUGGGCCAGGCCGGAUGCGCUCCCGCCGAGGAAGACCUGUCCAAGGUGUCUAGGUCCCCAAGAGAGGGGACAGUCACAUAUAACAAUAGUAGUACCAGAGCAGAACAGUCAGGGAGGAAAGUUUCCGGUCCGCACCAAAGCGGAGUUCCCCAAGCAGUGGUCCCGGGUCCCCGGCAGUGUCGGAAUCAGGCAACCCCGGCUGGGAGCCCAGACGCCCCUGGGAUGCUGUGAGCCACGGAGCCGUUUACCUGGGGCCGCAACACGAGGAGCGGAGGCGCCCGCCGAGCAGAGCCGGACGCCGGGCGCGGCGCGGCUCCUCCUAGCCUCGGCGUCCUCCUCCUUCGCUUCUCUCGGACUCUGUCCCGGGCUCGAAGCUGCCAGACAGGGGCCGGGCUGCAGCCGCCGUUCCUCCGCCACGGCCGCUGUCGCCGCCGCAGAGGACGCUCCGUGGCGGCUGGAAGCCUGUGUGAGUAGCGGCGCCCAGGAGAGUGGAUCUGCUUAGGAGCGCUGGAGACUCCGCGGCUCGGGGCGCCCGGUCGUGCGCACGCGCGCCAGCCAGUGUAAGUGUGUGUGCGCGCGCGCGCGCCCACGGGGUGGGGGAGUCGCGAGGGGAGGGGGAGAGAGCUGAGAGAUGCUUGUAGGGACCGAGGCAAAAUUCUUCGCCCCUGGAAAUCCGUAAAGCCGGGA
rnacentral:lncRNA from 1 species